GUCGCCUCGAGUCUGCGAGUCAGCGAGUCUGGCGCCCAUUAUCAGUCUACUCCACUCUUGACUCCACCAAACCAAACCGGUCCCCACAUAGAACACCAAACCCCAACUGCAAAGCCCCCUCCAACUCCAUUGAACUGAGUGACUGUGUUUCCUGGUCCUGCUAAAGAUACUUUUCCAUUGGCAACGAAGCAUGUUUCCCUUAAAAGUCAGAGCGAGGGAGAAGUAUAAACAAACGAUCGCUGGCGAGCUCCUUAUCUUCUAUAUGUGUGUAGCCCCCAGCUUCAAAGACCCAGACCUCAGCCGAGUCCAUAUACCAUGUACAUAGCGUAGUAUACUAUACUAUAUACAUAGUAGUAUACCAACUCGGCUUGGAGCCCCUAGUCCCGACUCCAAAUAGGCGCAGCUGUGUGGCUGUGUGCUCGUGUUAGAUAAGUCGGCUGCUUCUGGUGUGUGCGGGUAUUAAUAUGCAAAUUAGUUGGCGACCAGCGGAGCAACAAACACAACAACAAAGAUACAUAAGAAGCAAUGGCAACAAUAGCAACAAUAUGAUGAGUGAUUAAAAGUAAUGUGCAGAGGCAAAGUCGAAUAGCAAAUGCGCCAAACGAGGAUCGCACUCGUGCAGCUGACAUAAAACUAAGGGGUAUAGAAGGGUAUAUAUGUAAGGCACUAUUUAUAAAUACUCAGGUAGAUAAAACAAACAAAACUUAAAUAGAUAUUUUAUUUUAUUUUGAAAAGCAGGAUGUCAGGAACAAAAAAAAAGACUCUGGCAGCAAUAAAAUAUGAAAUAUAAUUGACAUGUAAUGUAUAAUGGUGUGUAACACAGCAAUGGCCCAAGUGCGCCUUUGUUUAUUUGAUCAAAUAAACAAAUAAUUUCUUUAUCACUCAACAACUGAGAUUCCCUUUGAUAUCCUAAACAAUCGCCACUAUUAGUGCGAUUCCAUUCCUACCACUUCAUCUCGCCCCAUUUUUAUUUCAUAGAGACACAUAUCAUGCGACGAUCGAGUGGUCGCCACAUGGGUCUCUCGCUUUGGAUCUGGAUCUGAAUCGGCAUCUGUAUCUGGAUCGGAUUGUAUCGCAGCCCGCAGCCCGCAGGCCCGUCCGCUCGUCUGUCAUCCAUUUGGCAAGCUUCAACAGAUCGUUGCGUUUCGUCAACAACAAAGCGGGGCGAAAACAAUGGACGCCACUCAUCGAGUGGGCUGGGGUCUCUAAAAUAAAGCCACGUUGAGCCAAUAAAACUAUGCUUCUAUGAUACUAAGCCAUAUCUACAGAUUAAAAAUAUUAGAAAACUUAAAAUUAAA